CAUUCCUUUACGACAACGCGGUCCGAGCGGUUCUCCCCCGUCAGGACUGAAGGGGCAGAAUCCGCAACGGGCGCGAUCGUCAUUCUUUCCGAGGCACAAGGCAACCCGAUGGGGCAACUAGGGGAGACAAACCCCCCCGCCCGCAUGACUUUCCGCAUCCGAAACCACGAGCGACAGACAUUUGCGCCGACGCAGCCAGGUCGUGGCGUGCGUGGAACACAUGCAUCGCUACGGGGUCGGCCCUAUGCCAUGACAGGCAAAGGGCGAAGGGGCACAAGCAUCAAAUUCAAUUUCCACCGCAGUGGGUAAGCAGCACAGGAACCUAACGCGGCCACGAAAAAAGCUUCGGGUCUUUAUGUUUGAAGGGAUCGCGAGAAAGCAGUUCGGUGCGCGAAGCAUGGAGCCUGCCUUCCCAAACGAUCCU
rnacentral:misc_RNA from 1 species